AUUGAACGCUGGCGGCAUGCCUUACACAUGCAAGUCGAACGGCAGCACGGGAGCAAUCCUGGUGGCGAGUGGCGAACGGGUGAGUAAAGUAUCGGAACGUGCCCAGUCGUGGGGGAUAACGUAGCGAAAGUUACGCUAAUACCGCAUACGAUCUGUGGAUGAAAGCGGGGGAUCGCAAGACCUCGCGCGAUUGGAGCGGCCGAUAUCAGAUGAGGUAGUUGGUGGGGUAAAGGCUCACCAAGCCGACGAUCUGUAGCUGGUCUGAGAGGACGACCAGCCACACUGGGACUGGGACACGGCCCAGACUCCUACGGGAGGCAGCAGUGGGGAAUUUUGGACAAUGGGCGAAAGCCUGAUCCAGCCAUGCCGCGUGCAGGAUGAAGGCCUUCGGGUUGUAAACUGCUUUUGUACGGAACGAGAAGGUUUGGCCUAAUAAGCUGAGCUCAUGACGGUACCGUAAGAAUAAGCACCGGCUAACUACGUGCCAGCCGCCGCGGUAA
rnacentral:rRNA from 1 species